UUAUUAUAAUUAAAAUUAAUUAAUAAAAGAUUAAAUGAAAUCAUUAAAUUUAAAAAAUUUGGCGGUAUUUUAAAUAGUUAGAGGAAUUUGUUAGAUAAAUGAUGGCCCACGAUUGGAGAGUCUUAAUAGAGUUUUUAUGUAUUGUUGUAUAAAAAUUAUUUUAGAAGAAUAAUGAUUAAAAUAUUUAAUUUAAUUUGAGUUCAAAUCAAAUUGUAGAAUUAUUAAGUUGCAAUGAAUAAAUGAAUUACAUUUUAUUGGAUUUAUUUUUUUAAUUAUAAUAAUGAGAGAGGAUUUAAGAGUAAAUUUAAAUAAAUUUUUAAGUUGAAAAAUUAGU
rnacentral:rRNA from 1 species